rnacentral:rRNA from 1 species
AGCGAACGCUGGCGGCGUGCCUAACACAUGCAAGUCGAACGUGAAAAGGGAAAUCUCUGUAGGGUUGCGUACGGGUGAGUAACGCGUAGGUAAUCUACCCCAGAAUCUGUAAUAACUUGCCGAAAGACGGGCGAAUACUGGAUACAGCGAGGGAACUCGUGAGAGAGUUUUUCGGUCAGGGGAGCCCGCAAGGGCCUUCGCUCGGGGAUGAUCCUGAGUCUCAUUAGGUAGUUUGUAAGGUAACGGCUUACCAAGGCUAAGAUGAGUAGCUGGUCUGGAAAGAAGGACCAGCAAACUUGGAAUGGAACAAGGUCCAGGAUCCUUCGGGAGGCAGCAGGGGGGGAACAUGCGAAAUGGGGGAAAGGCUGAAGCAACCAAGCCGGGUGAGGGGAGAAGGCCUUCGGGUUGUAAAGCCCUGUCGGGUGGGAAGAAAAGCCUCAUAGUGAAUAGCUAUGAGGACUGACGGUACCAUCAAAGGAAGCACCGGCUAACUCCGUG